GGGGAAGCGGCGCUUGCACCGUGAAACCAUGGCGGACGGGUGAGUAACGCGUAAAGAACUUGCCGAAUGGACUGGGAUAACAGCUGGAAACGGCUGAUAAGACCGGAUAUUAUGAACUUGCUGCAUAGUGAGUUUAUGAAAAGAGAUGCCAUUUGAGAGCUUUGCGUCCUAUUAGCUAGUUGGUAAGGUAACGGCUUACCAAGGCGAUGAUAGGUAGCCGGCCUGAGAGGGUGGACGGCCACAAGGGGACUGAGAUACGGCCCUUACUCCUACGGGAGGCAGCAGUGGGGAAUAUUGGACAAUGGGGGCAACCCUGAUCCAGCAAUUCUGUGUGCACGAAGAAGGUUUUCGGAUCGUAAAGUGCUUUCAGCAGGGAGGAAGAAAGUGACUGUACCUGCAGAAGAAGCGACGGCUAAAUACGUGCCAGCAGCCGCGGUAAUACGUAUGUCGCGAGCGUUAUCCGGAAUUAUUGGGCAUAAAGGGCAUCUAGGCGGCCAGAUAAGUCCGAGGUGAAAACUGCCGGCUCAACCAGCAGCUUGCCUUGGAAACUACCUGGCUAGAGUAUUGGAGAGGUGGACGGAACUACACGAGUAGAGGUGAAAUUCGUAGAUAUGUGUAGGAAUGCCGAUGAUGAAGAUAGUUCACUGGACGAUAACUGACGCUGAAGUGCGAAAGCUAGGGGAGCGAACAGGAUUAGAUACCCUGGUAGUCCUAGCUGUAAACGAUGAUUACUGGGUGUGGGCAUGAAGAGUGUCCGUGCCGAAGUUAAUGC
rnacentral:rRNA from 1 species